rnacentral:rRNA from 1 species
CAUGCAUGUAUUAGAACGGUCUCACGACCUAUCUGCGAACGGCUCAUUACAACAGUUAAAAUCCGCAUGACGAUUGUUUUCUGGAUACUUUCAGUAAUUCUGGAGCUAAUACGUACUCGUGCUUCGGCACCACUUAUUAGAUCGACCAACCGCUUCGGCGUUUUGUGUUGACUCUGAAUAUUUUGCAGACCGCAUGCGUAAGCGGCGGCGUGUCAUGCGAUUAACUGCCCUAUCAACUUUUGAUGGUAGUUUAGUUGACUACCAUGGUGAUAACGGGUAACGGAGGAUCAGGGUUUGACUCCGGAGAGUAUGCCUGAGAGACGGCAAACACAUCUAAGGAAGGCAGCAGGCGCGCAAAUUACCCACUCUCAAUUCGAGGAGGUAGUGACAACAACUAACGAGACUGCUCCCUAUGGGAACAGUCAUCGAAAUGGGUACAAUUUAAACCCUUUAACGAGGAUCUAUGAGAGGGCAAGUCUGGUGCCAGCAGCCGCGGUAAUUCCAGCUCUCAAAGUGUAUGUCAUUAUUGCUGCGGUUAAAAAGCUCGUAGUUGGAUCUGAGCUCGUGAAUCCAGUCCACCUCUGUGUGGUACUGGCAUUCUGAGUUAAAUUCGUCGGCUUGCCGGCGAGAGUUACUCUGAAUAAAUCGGAGUGCUCAAAACAAGCGUUUCGCUUGAACGUUUUUGCAUGGAAUAAUGGAAAAGGAAUUCGAUUCCUUACUGUU